UACGUAGGGCGCAAGCGUUGUCCGGAAUUAUUGGGCGUAAAGAGCUCGUAGGCGGUCUGUCGCGUCGAUCGUGAAAACUUGGGGCUUAACCCUGAGCUUGCGGUCGAUACUGGGCGGCUUGAGUCUGGUAGGGGAGUCUGGAAUUCCUGGUGUAGCGGUGGAAUGCGCAGAUAUCAAGAGGAACACCGGUGGCGAAGGCGGGACUCUGGGCCAGUACUGACGCUGAUGCGCGAAAGCGUUGGGGAGCAAACAGG
rnacentral:rRNA from 1 species